AGCAGAGUGGCCUAGUGGAAAAGCUUGGGCGUGGGAGCCAGAGGCUCUGAGUUCUAAUCCCAGCUCUGCUG
rnacentral:tRNA from 1 species